ACCAACAAGAAUUAGAAACAUACAGAAUGUACAUAUGCGGAACCUCAAAUGAUCUGAGUGUGGCACUAGCAGUUGCCUCUUGUGACUAGUUUCGUCAUUAAAGGAACCAGAGAGCAUGAAGCUAAACACCCUCGACACAUUAUUCAUGAUGAUAUGUCUUGGACUAAUUUUACGGGACACCUGCUACCUCUUAUCGAUACAGGUAUGGGAUAAAUCUAUCCAUCAGGAUUUGAACAAUGAUAUUUGUUGGUUUGUUUUCGAAUUAUUUGAUUAUAGUUAACGAUCAAAGAUUAUAUUCUACCGACGUGAAUCAGAGAAUUGAAAUAUUCAGUGGUCCUUUCUUGUGAAGGGAAUAAAAGUCCCCAAUUCAAGCGUGAAUUGUCUCAUUA
rnacentral:misc_RNA from 1 species